rnacentral:rRNA from 1 species
AUUGAACGCUAGCGGGAUGCCUAACACAUGCAAGUAGAACGGAGUGGCGAACGGGUGAGCAAUGUAUCGGAACGUGCCCAGUAGCGGGGGAUAACUACGCGAAAGCGCAGUUAAUACCGCAAAUGAUUGGAGCGGUCGAUAUCGGAUUAGCUAGUUGGUGGGGUAACGGCUCACCAAGGCGACGAUACAUAGCUGGUUUGAGAGGACGACCAGCCACACUGGGACUGAGACACGGCCCAGACUCCUACGGGAGGCAGCAGUGGGGAAUUUUGGGCAAUGGAGGAAACCCUGAUCCAGCCAUGCCGCGUGUGCGAUGAAGGCCUUCGGGUUGUAAAGCACUUUUGGCAGGAAAGCGGUACCUGCAGAGUAAGCACCGGCUAACUACGUGCCAGCAGCCGCGGUAAUUC